rnacentral:tRNA from 1 species
AGCGGGGUGGGGUAGCCAGGAUAUCCCGGCGGGCGGGCCCAUAACCCGCAGAUCGGUGGUUCAAAUCCACCCCCCGCUA